rnacentral:rRNA from 1 species
AUUGAACGCUGGCGGUAUGCUUAACACAUGCAAGUCGAACGAGUAGCUACUUCGGUAGCGAGAGUGGCGGACGGGUGAGUAACGCGUAGGAAUCUGCCUGUUAGUGGGGGACAACGUGGGGAAACUCACGCUAAUACCGCAUACGCCCUACGGGGGAAAGGAGGGGAUCUUCGGACCUUUCGCUAACAGAUGAGCCUGCGUUAGAUUAGCUAGUUGGUGGGGUAAAGGCCUACCAAGGCGACGAUCUAUAGCUGUUCUGAGAGGAAGAUCAGCCACACUGGGGACUGAGACACGGCCCAGACUCCUACGGGAGGCAGCAGUGGGGAAUAUUGGACAAU